CUCAGCCUCCCGAGUAGCUGGGACUACAGGUGCCCGCCACCGCGCCCGGCUAAUUUUUUGUAUUUUUAGUAGAGACGGGGUUUCACCGUGUUAGCCAAGAUGGUCUCGAUCUCCUGACCUUGUGAUCCGCCCGCCUCGGCCUCCCAAAGUGCUGGGAUUACAGGCGUGAGCCACCGCGCCCAGCCGACAGAAUAUAUCUUAUGCAUUUUUAUUUAUUGAAUGUCAUUUUAUUCCAAUGAUAAGAUACAGAUUACAAAACUUCUAGUAUAAUUACACAUAAUUACCUUUUG
rnacentral:lncRNA from 10 species